UGGGGGAUAUUGCACAAUGGAGGAAACUCUGAUGCAGCAACGCCGCGUGAGGGAAGAAGGUUUUCGGAUUGUAAACCUCUGUUUUUAGUGAAGAAUAGAAUGACGGUAGCUAAAGAGGAAGCCACGGCUAACUAUGUGCCAGCAGCCGCGGUAAUACGUAGGUGGCAAGCGUUAUCCGGAUUUACUGGGUGUAAAGGGUGUGUAGGCGGGUCUGCAAGUCAGAUGUGAAAACUAUGGGCUCAACUCAUAGCUUGCAUUUGAAACUGUGGAUCUUGAGUGUCGGAGAGGUAAAUGGAAUUCCCGGUGUAGAGGUGAAAUUCGUAGAUAUCGGGAGGAACACCAGUGGCGAAGGCGGUUUACUGGACGAUUACUGACGCUGAGACACGAAAGUGUGGGGAGCGAAACAGGAUUAGAUACCCUGGUAGU
rnacentral:rRNA from 1 species